UGGGGAAUCUUGGUCAAUGGACGAAAGUCUGACCCAGCAACGCCGCGUGAAGGAAGAAGGCUUUCGGGUUGUAAACUUCUUUUGGCAGGGACGAAAAAAAUGACGGUACCUGCAGAAUAAGCUCCGGCUAACUACGUGCCAGCAGCCGCGGUAAUACGUAGGGAGCAAGCGUUAUCCGGAUUUACUGGGUGUAAAGGGCGCGUAGGCGGGAAUGCAAGUCAGAUGUGAAAUCUGAGGGCUCAACCCUCAAACUGCAUUUGAAACUGCGUUUCUUGAGUGGUGGAGAGGCAAGUGGAAUUCCUAGUGUAGCGGUGAAAUGCGUAGAUAUUAGGAGGAACACCAGUGGCGAAGGCGACUUGCUGGACACUAACUGACGCUGAGGCGCGAAAGCGUGGGGAGCAAACA
rnacentral:rRNA from 1 species